AGUUUGGAAGGUUUAUAACCGUUAAGUUGCAAACUUAGAAUGGCGAUAGCUCAGGCUA
rnacentral:tRNA from 1 species